rnacentral:rRNA from 1 species
AGAGUUUGAUCAUGGCUCAGAUUGAACGCUGGCGGCAGGCCUAACACAUGCAAGUCGAGCGGCAGCGGGUCCUUCGGGAUGCCGGCGAGCGGCGGACGGGUGAGUAAUGCCUAGGAAUCUGCCUGGUAGUGGGGGAUAACUCGGGGAAACUCGAGCUAAUACCGCAUACGUCCUACGGGAGAAAGCGGGGGAUCUUCGGACCUCGCGCUACCAGAUGAGCCUAGGUCGGAUUAGCUAGUUGGUGAGGUAAAGGCUCACCAAGGCGACGAUCCGUAGCUGGUCUGAGAGGAUGAUCAGCCACACUGGAACUGAGACACGGUCCAGACUCCUACGGGAGGCAGCAGUGGGGAAUAUUGGACAAUGGGCGAAAGCCUGAUCCAGCCAUGCCGCGUGUGUGAAGAAGGUCUUCGGAUUGUAGAGCACUUUAAGUUGGGAGGAAGGGCAGUAAGUUAAUACCUUGCUGUUUUGACGUUACCGACAGAAUAAGCACCGGCUAACCUCGUGCCAGCAGCCGCGGUAAUACGAAGGGUGCAAGCGUUAAUCGGAAUUACUGGGCGUAAAGCGCGCGUAGGUGGUUUGAUAAGUUGGAUGUGAAAGCCUCGGGCUCAACUUGGGAAUUGCAUCCAAAACUGUCUGACUAGAGUAUGGCAGAGGGUGGUGGAAUUUCCCUGUGUAGCGGUGAAAUGCGUAGAUAUAGGAAGGAACACCAUUGGCGAAGGCGACCACCUGGGGCU